UGUACACGCUGUGACUAGCAUAUCAAUAAGCGGAGGAAAAGAAACCAACAAGGAUUCCCCUAGUAACGGCGAGUGAAGCGGGAAGAGCUCAAAUUUGAAAUCUUAAAGGGUUUCCCUUUACGAAUUGUAGUUUAAAGAAGUGUUUUUCUGUUGAGGUUUUGGUAAAAGUUCUUUGGAAUAGGACAUCAUAGAGGGUGAGAAUCCCGUAUUUGACCUUUACUUUCAACUUUGUGAUACACUUUCAAAGAGUCGGAUUGUUUGGGAAUGCAGUCCAACAUGGGUGGUAAAUUUCAUCUAAAGCUAAAUAUUGGCGAGAGAUCGAUAGCGAACAAGUACCGUGAGGGAAAGAUGAAAAGAACUUUGAAAAGAGAGUUAAACAGUACGUGAAAUUGUCAAAAGGGAAGCGUUUUGACACCAGUGUUGUUUUUCUGAAAAUCAAUUAAAGAACUGUUUAUGCUAAGCUGUUUAGACUUUAUCAGCUAUCUGUUUAGUUUUGAGCUUUUCUUUAAUGCACUUUUCAGUUAACAAGUCAACAUCAAUUUCUUUUGCUGUAAAAAAGCUUGAGGAAGGUGGCUUGAGAUUCGUCUUAAGUGUUUAUAGCCUCUUGCCUAUGCAGUCGGAGAGAUUGAGGUCUGCAGCGUAGAUCCUUCGGGGCUAAAUGCAUUUGUGCUAAGUUAUAGCAUUUUAUAGACAACUUGUUGACUAUGAUUUGUCUUGUAGCUUACUCGCUUAUGUUAUUUUACCUACGCUUAGGAUGUUGAAGAUGUAGCACAUCAU
rnacentral:rRNA from 1 species